rnacentral:lncRNA from 1 species
GUGCAGCAGCGUCACCGGGAACACGAACACCAGGUGCUGGUAGAGUGUCAGCCCCAGGCAAGGCAGAAGCUGCUUUACGGAAGGCGAGAAGUCCGGGUGGAUCUUGUAGCGUCGCAGGAUGGGGACCCAGGGAUACAGGACGUCCAGCACCACGAACGGUGAUGUACUAAUGACACAGGAGAGAGCGAUUCUGCCUUGGGACAGUUCACCCGCCAUCACCGCUAAAAACUAAUGAGUUCUUCGCUCUCAGAAGGCGCUGUUUCUCAACCAAAGCAGAAUUCCCUGGGUUUUAAAAUAUCUGUUUUUGACUGUUUAAAGACUUAUUCUACACCUUGGGGGACUCUGAGUGUGCGUACCUCACGCCACAGUGCUGGUACUGGGUCCGUUGCAGACAGGGAUUGAGUCCUGUAGGAGAGGGAACCUGGCAUCCUCCAAAAAAGAGCAGUCAGGCUCGCAGCCUUUUGGCGCGGACGACUCUCCCGCUCUGGUGCCCUUAAAGCCCGCGGUGUCAAGAGCAGAGAUCAGAUCCUGCAAGACAGCGGUCAAGAGGGCAGCACUGCCAGCCUUUGCUCUGGGUUGGAGAACGGAGGCUUAACACCCGUAAAGGCUCACUCGAUUGGGCCAAACCGCAAAGGCCAGUGGAGAAGAAGAUCUGAGCAAUCUCAUAGCCUCCCGGAACAUGUCUCAUCUCCCCUGCCAUUUCCUUAGAGGUCCCUCAGGCUCCGACUUUUACCAACCCUCAGUUGUUCCCUACUCCUCAACUCCUGGAUACCCUUUCAGACACUGGGACUGAUCGUCCAGGGACUGAGCACAGGAGGUCAGUACUAUAUCCAAGGAGAGUGCCCUAGAGAGUGGAGCACAGAAAUCAGCCCCGGGUAGCGGAUACACGGCACAGAAGAUCCCAGAGGAAAGCCAGGGGCCAUUCUCCCAGGGUUUCCUUCUUGAAUUUGUGUCUUUACAGCUGCUUUUCUCUGCUGGAAGCUAACAUAGUCUUAUACAAGCUUGUGUUUCUUGUGUUAUUUUCCAAAGAAAACAGGGAUUGUAGCUCUAGGAGCCUGCUGCCAGUCCCCCCUGGGGGGGGGGAGGGGGAGGGGAUGGACUGUAACUUUUGCCUGCACAAGACUGUUACUUGUGAUUCACACUCAUCAAGAACUGGCUCCCACAUUUGUCAGGAAGUACCCCAUAACUGUGGCUUCACAGCUCUCUAUCUAAGGCCUCAGCACAUACCAAAGGAAAUAAGGCACACAAUCACUUUAACUUUGUAUUUCACAGGUAACCACUAAGAUAUUUGGAAUUAAAUGCAAAUAGUUAAGGUUUUUUUUAACAUGAAGAAAAGAUAAAAGGAUAUAAAAAACAAACACAUAUGGUAAAAAUAUGGUACAAUAAAUGGGUCCAACAUCAAACCUGUGAAGCAAAGCCUGGAGCCAGGCCUGCAGGAUGCCCUGUUCCCAUGCCCCUGCUCCUCAAGACACGUUGAAGAACAGCUGCCCUCCUCCAGUCCCUGCCCAUGAAGUUCACGGGACGGACAUCGUGCCCAACAUAGAGAUGCAACCAUCUCAAGGAGUUAAGUGGUUACAGACAUCACAGCCUGAUGCUAGAGAAGCAGGCAUAAUACUCCAGAUGACUAAACAACGUUUAAUAAGCCAAAACAAAGUAGAGCCAUGUGCUAAAGAGAAGCGGUUCCUUGAAUUUGCCAAGCCUAAGGGAGUUUCUGCAGACUGAAAAAUGUAAUAGUCUCCGAGUGAGUAGAGACUUUUAGAGCAAGGAUCUUAGGAUUUAUUUCUACAAAUCUAAGAAAAUGUCUGUCCUCUCUCAGUUGCUCACUUUCUUCUCCCUCACUGGCUCUCUCUCCCUCGACAAGGCUCGUCCCGCCCCCGCCCCCCCCACCAUCCCCCCCACUCCCCUCCCCCUCCAGUGAAUUACAGAGGAGCCUGGAUAAACCUAACCCAUACCAAGCACUCACUUUGUCAUUGACCUCCAACGCCCUCCCAUCCUAAGGAAUGCUCCCAAGAUGCUGCAUAUUCAUUUUCAAAGAUACAGGCUCAAAUUUGAAGAUUAAAAAUAGGUUUCUGCAUUUCGAUAUUUAUUAAUUUUUAUGUGUUUAUAGAGAACACUAGCAGAUGCCAUUUGGGUCUGCUAUUUAGGGACAGUUGCACACGCGAGUGGCUGUUUUAUAAUUUCACAUGGUAUCAGAACGCUGUACUUUGUACUUUUCCAUUUGAUAAAGAGUUCUUUAUCAUGUCAUCUUGGCCUGAGCCCUCUGACAGCCUUUAAAGACAAGAAUCCCAUCUCCUCCAGUUAUUCCCAAGGUCCAAACAUAAUUAACUCCGUCUCAGAGUUAUUUGGUACCAACUAAUCAAAAGUCUUUGGGAAGCCUCACCAAUAGGGCAUGCAGCUAGCCAGCAAAGCUAAUGACAUAUUCUCUUUAAAAUGGGUAUGGUGACUUAUUUACUUACUUAUUUGUUUUUGCUUUCACAAGUGAGACUAUUUAGGCAGAUGCUUGACUGAAACAACUAUAUAUCAGAGGUUAUAAGCAAGGCCCAAAGAGGUGGAAUGAUCUCAAAGAUUGCAAUAUGACAUCACAUUUCAAAGAUGAGGAAUUAGUCAGUCUCAGAUAUGCCAAGAAUAGCCCUGAUUAGCGACAAAGUGUCAAUUACAGCUGAUGGAGAGUUAUGCUCAGUGUCCGUUCUUAGCCAGCCAGGGUUGCUCUCAAAAAGAACUUUGAAGUGCUUCUUCUUCUUCUUCUUUUCUUUUUUGUAGUAAUUUUCAAAGGACUGAGGGACCAUUAAUUAACCUUGAAAGUAAUACUAGAAGAUGCUAAUGAAGAAUCCGAAGGAUUGUCAGCUCUUCCUGCAAAGUCUCCGAGUUACCUUGAUGCUCCAGUAACCCAGAUACUGCUGCACAUGGCUUCGACCUGUCAUAUAGUGUAUAAGUUACUACUGUCCAUACUGAUGGAACUAUUACUGGCCUCUCUGAAGCAAGCAUAUACAGUCACUCCUAACCAAAAAGUCAUCCUAUGCCUGUAAAGAAAGAAAAAUGUCACCAGCCCCCUAGUUCUCUCCCCCCCCAUCAACAUGAUCAAAGUUUUGGAAGAACACAUUGAUUAAAACAUGCAAAGUCCAUUUUUUCUAUAACAUAAUUGAUACAAAAAGUUCCAUUUGACGAGUAUGGAAUUAGACUUGACAUCUGCAACUAACACAAUACAGCAAACACAGCUGGAUGAUAACCGAAAGCCUUCAUCAGGAUAAUUACUUCCUUAGGUCGCCUUUCACACGUCACAAGAAAUCCAAGUGGCUUCUGCCCUUGAAAUAUCUCUGUAUAUUAGAGACAAAGGAUAGGGGUUGGAGGGAUGGCUCUGCAUUGAAGAGCACUGGCUGCUCGUGAAGAGGGCUCCUACUCAGACUGGGUUUAGACUCCAUACUCACAUGACUACUUACAAUUAUCUGAAACUCCAGUUGCAGGGUAUCCAACGUCUUCUUGUGAACUCCUGAGGCACAAAACUCAUGUGGUGCACUCACUCACAUACAUGCAAGCAAGCCAAACACUCAGAACAAAAUGAAAACAAACCAGUCUUUAAAAUUUCAAAGCAUCAAGUUACUAUUUGAAAUGUCUUUAUUUAUUAAAUCAACAUCUUUCAUGUUCACAAACACAAAAUAAUCCUCGUUGUUUUGACAAUGAAAUCAAUAAACUUAGCUAUUUCUG